rnacentral:rRNA from 1 species
ACUCUAAGGUGACUGCGGCUAAAAGUCGGAGGAAGUGGGGAUGACGUCAAAUCAUCAUGCCCUUAUGACCUGGGCUACACACGUGCUACAAUGGGCGGUACAAAGGGUCGCGAACCCGCGAGGGGGAGCCAAUCCCAAAAAGCCGCUCUCAGUUCGGAUUGCAGGCUGCAACUCGCCUGCAUGAAGCCGGAAUCGCUAGUAAUCGCGGAUCAGCAUGCCGCGGUGAAUACGUUCCCGGGCCUU